AAGCAUAUCAAUAAGCGGAGGAAAAGAAACCAACAGGGAUUGCCCUAGUAACGGCGAGUGAAGCGGCAACAGCUCAAAUUUGAAAUCUGGCUCUUUUAGAGUCCGAGUUGUAAUUUGCAGAGGGCGCUUUGGCUUUGGCAGCGGUCCAAGUUCCUUGGAACAGGACGUCACAGAGGGUGAGAAUCCCGUACGUGGUCGCUGGCUAUUGCCGUGUAAAGCCCCUUCGACGAGUCGAGUUGUUUGGGAAUGCAGCUCUAAAUGGGAGGUACAUUUCUUCUAAAGCUAAAUAUUGGCCAGAGACCGAUAGCGCACAAGUAGAGUGAUCGAAAGAUGAAAAGCACUUUGGAAAGAGAGUCAAACAGCACGUGAAAUUGUUGAAAGGGAAGCGCUUGCAGCCAGACUUGCUUACAGUUGCUCAUCCGGGUUUCUACCCGGUGCACUCUUCUGUAGGCAGGCCAGCAUCAGUUUGGGCGGUAGGAUAAAGGUCUCUGUCACGUACCUCCUUUCGGGGAGGCCUUAUAGGGGAGACGACAUACUACCAGCCUGGACUGAGGUCCGCGCAUCUGCUAGGAUGCUGGCGUAAUGGCUGUAAGCGGCCCGUCUUGAAACACGGACCAAGGAGUCUAACAUCUAUGCGAGUGUUUGGGUGUCAAGCCCGAGCGCGUAAUGAAAGUGAACGGAGGUGGGAACCCGCAAGGGUGCACCAUCGACCGAUCCUGAUGUCUUCGGAAGGAUUUGAGUAAGAGCAUGGCUGUUGGGACCCGAAAGAUGGUGAACUAUGCUUGAAUAGGGUGAAGCCAGAGGAAACUCUGGUGGAGGCUCGCAGCGGUUCUGACGUGCAAAUCGAUCGUCAAAUUUGGGCAUAGGGGCGAAAGACUAAUCGAC
rnacentral:rRNA from 1 species